rnacentral:rRNA from 1 species
UCGAGAAUAUUUCGCAAUGGGCGGAAGCCUGACGAAGCGACGCCGUGUGAAUGAAGAAGGCCUUCGGGUUGUAAAGUUCUGUCGUCUAGGAACAAGGGUAACACAGGAAUAUAGUGUUAUUUUGAGAGUACUAGGAGAGGAAGCACCGGCUAACUCCGUGCCAGCAGCUGCGGUAAUACGGAGGGUGCAAGCGUUAGUCGGAAUUACUGGGCGUAAAGGGUGCGUAGGCGGGAUUAUAAGUCAGACGUGAAAUUUCGGGGCUCAACCUCGGAGCGGCAUCUGAAACUGUAAUUCUAGCGGAAUGGCGGAGGAAACGGAAUUCCACGUGUAGCGGUGAAAUGCGUAGAUAUGUGGAAGAACACCUGUGGCGAAAGCGGUUUUCUAGCCUACUCCAGACGCUGAGGCACGAAAGCUAGGGGAGCAAACA